GAUCAUGGCUCAGGACAAACGCUGGCGGCAUGCCUAACACAUGCAAGUCGAACGAGGAUAGCAAUAUCCGAGUGGCGAACGGGUGAGUAACACGUGAGCAACCUGCCUUACACAACGGGAUACCUACUGGAAACAGUAGUUAAUACGGUAUAAGACCACAGUACCGCAUGAUACAGUGGUAAAAGAUUUAUCGGUGUAAGAUGGGCUCGCGGCGCAUUAGCUAGUUGGAGAGGUAACGGCUCACCAAGGCGACGAUGCGUAGCCGACCUGAGAGGGUGAUCGGCCACAUUGGGACUGAGAUACGGCCCAGACUCCUACGGGAGGCAGCAGUGGGGAAUAUUGGGCAAUGGAGGAAACUCUUUAACCCCAGCAAUGCCGCGUGAACGAAGAAGGUCGUAAGAUUGUAAAGUUCUUUAGUCAGGGACUAAUAAAUGAAGGAUCUGAAGAAUAAGCUCCGGCUAACUACGUGCCAGCCGCAGC
rnacentral:rRNA from 1 species